rnacentral:rRNA from 1 species
GGGACACGUGGUAUCCUGUCUGAAUAUGGGGGGACCAUCCUCCAAGGCUAAAUACUCCUGACUGACCGAUAGUGAACCAGUACCGUGAGGGAAAGGCGAAAAGAACCCCGGCGAGGGGAGUGAAAAAGAACCUGAAACCGUGUACGUACAAGCAGUGGGAGCCUCUUAAUGGGGUGACUGCGUACCUUUUGUAUAAUGGGUCAGCGACUUAUAUUCUGUAGCAAGGUUAACCGAAUAGGGGAGCCGAAGGGAAACCGAGUCUUAACUGGGCGUUAAGUUGCAGGGUAUAGACCCGAAACCCGGUGAUCUAGCCAUGGGCAGGUUGAAGGUUGGGUAACACUAACUGGAGGACCGAACCGACUAAUGUUGAAAAAUUAGCGGAUGACUUGUGGCUGGGGGUGAAAGGCCAAUCAAACCGGGAGAUAGCUGGUUCUCCCCGAAAGCUAUUUAGGUAGCGCCUCGUGAAUUCAUCUCCGGGGGUAGAGCACUGUUUCGGCAAGGGGGUCAUCCCGACUUACCAACCCGAUGCAAACUGCGAAUACCGGAGAAUGUUAUCACGGGAGACACACGGCGGGUGCUAACGUCCGUCGUGAAGAGGGAAACAACCCAGACCGCCAGCUAAGGUCCCAAAGUCAUGGUUAAGUGGGAAACGAUGUGGGAAGGCCCAGACAGCCAGGAUGUUGGCUUAGAAGCAGCCAUCAUUUAAAGAAAGCGUAAUAGCUCACUGGUCGAGUCGGCCUGCGCGGAAGAUGUAACGGGGCUAAACCAUGCACCGAAGCUGCGGCAGCGACACUAUGUGUUGUUGGGUAGGGGAGCGUUCUGUAAGCCUGUGAAGGUGUACUGUGAGGUAUGCUGGAGGUAUCAGAAGUGCGAAUGCUGACAUAAGUAACGAUAAAGCGGGUGAAAAGCCCGCUCGCCGGAAGACCAAGGGUUCCUGUCCAACGUUAAUCGGGGCAGGGUGAGUCGACCCCUAAGGCGAGGCCGAAAGGCGUAGUCGAUGGGAAACAGGUUAAUAUUCCUGUACUUGGUGUUACUGCGAAGGGGGGACGGAGAAGGCUAUGUUGGCCGGGCGACGGUUGUCCCGGUUUAAGCGUGUAGGCUGGUUUUCCAGGCAAAUCCGGAAAAUCAAGGCUGAGGCGUGAUGACGAGGCACUACGGUGCUGAAGCGACAAAUGCCCUGCUUCCAGGAAAAGCCUCUAAGCAUCAGGUAACAUCAAAUCGUACCCCAAACCGACACAGGUGGUCAGGUAGAGAAUACCAAGGCGCUUGAGAGAACUCGGGUGAAGGAACUAGGCAAAAUGGUGCCGUAACUUCGGGAGAAGGCACGCUGAUAUGUAGGUGAAGCGACUUGCUCGUGGAGCUGAAAUCAGUCGAAGAUACCAGCUGGCUGCAACUGUUUAUUAAAAACACAGCACUGUGCAAACACGAAAGUGGACGUAUACGGUGUGACGCCUGCCCGGUGCCGGAAGGUUAAUUGAUGGGGUUAGCGGUAACGCGAAGCUCUUGAUCGAAGCCCCGGUAAACGGCGGCCGUAACUAUAACGGUCCUAAGGUAGCGAAAUUCCUUGUCGGGUAAGUUCCGACCUGCACGAAUGGCGUAAUGAUGGCCAGGCUGUCUCCACCCGAGACUCAGUGAAAUUGAACUCGCUGUGAAGAUGCAGUGUACCCGCGGCAAGACGGAAAGACCCCGUGAACCUUUACUAUAGCUUGACACUGAACAUUGAGCCUUGAUGUGUAGGAUAGGUGGGAGGCUUUGAAGUGUGGACGCCAGUCUGCAUGGAGCCGACCUUGAAAUACCACCCUUUAAUGUUUGAUGUUCUAACGUGGGCCCCUUACCGGGGUUGCGGACAGUGUCUGGUGGGUAGUUUGACUGGGGCGGUCUCCUCCUAAAGAGUAACGGAGGAGCACGAAGGUUGGCUAAUCCUGGUCGGACAUCAGGAGGUUAGUGCAAUGGCAUAAGCCAGCUUGACUGCGAGCGUGACGGCGCGAGCAGGUGCGAAAGCAGGUCAUAGUGAUCCGGUGGUUCUGAAUGGAAGGGCCAUCGCUCAACGGAUAAAAGGUACUCCGGGGAUAACAGGCUGAUACCGCCCAAGAGUUCAUAUCGACGGCGGUGUUUGGCACCUCGAUGUCGGCUCAUCACAUCCUGGGGCUGAAGUAGGUCCCAAGGGUAUGGCUGUUCGCCAUUUAAAGUGGUACGCGAGCUGGGUUUAGAACGUCGUGAGACAGUUCGGUCCCUAUCUGCCGUGGGCGCUGGAGAACUGAGGGGGGCUGCUCCUAGUACGAGAGGACCGGAGUGGACGCAUCACUGGUGUUCGGGUUGUCAUGCCAAUGGCACUGCCCGGUAGCUAAAUGCGGAAGAGAUAAGUGCUGAAAGCAUCUAAGCACGAAACUUGCCCCGAGAUGAGUU